AUUGAACGCUGGCUGCAGGCCUAACACAUGCAAGUCGAGCGGAGCGGCGGACGGGUGAGUAAUGCCUAGGAAUCUGCCUGGUAGUGGGGGAUCAAGUCCGGAAACGGGCGCUAAUACCGCAUACUAUCAGAUGACCCUAGGUGGGAUUAGCUAGUGUGUGGGGUAAAGGCCUACCAAGGCGACGAUCAGUAACUGGUCUGAGAGGAUGAUCAGCCACACGGGAAAUGAGACACGGUCCAGACUCCGACGGGAGGCAGCAGGGGGUAAUAUUGGACAAUGGGCGAAAGCCUGAUCCAGCCAUGCCGCGUGUGUGAAGAAGGUCUUCGGAUUGUAAAGCACUUUAAGUUGGGAGGCGUUACCUACAGAAUAAGCACCGGCUAACUUCGUGCCAGCAGCCGCGGUAAUUC
rnacentral:rRNA from 1 species